rnacentral:lncRNA from 1 species
CAACAAGAAUAGACCAGCAGCGGGGGGGAGUUAGGGAGGGCCCAGGGAACAAAAUGACAAAACAGAGCUUUCCCACAUUUUCUACAUCGUGGCACACCAAUACAUCAUCGUCACCAGCGGAAGUGGGAGGCUCUUCAUAGAUUGAAAAGGGAAACUUCUUCCUGUGAGCAGUCCGUUCAUUUCUCUCCCAGACACAAGGCUGAAAUUUUAGUAUUACAGGUAUCACUGGGGAAUAUUUCUCAGCUGCAGGAAUUUAAUCAGAUGCUCUCUCUCAGUUACUCAUGUUGGAAUUAGUGACCAGCUUAAACCCCAACGGCUUUUUCACAUUAACUGAUGUCAAGCCAGGGGGUCUUCUAGGAUGCCAGCCAAAUGGACAACGCCAGAGUGAAGACCCAGGAGAUGAAAUCGGAUCAAGUGGGAAGAGUAGCAUAAGGAAUCUAAAGUGGAACAAGGAUUCUUUUGUGCAGUGCACAAACUACACAACCGUGCCAGUGGCCUUGCCAAGCAGUUUUGAUAGCAGCUGGAACCUGAGGUGCAGAAGUGGGCAAAAGCUUUUUCCAAGUACCAGGAUGCCUAAUAUUAAACUUUUAG